GACAGAGGGCUCAAACGUUGUUCGGAAUUACUGGGCGUAAAGCGCACGUAGGCGGCUUUCUAAGUCGGGGGUGAAAUCCUGGAGCUCAACUCCAGAACUGCCUUCGAUACUGGAAAGCUCGAGUCCGGGAGAGGUGAGUGGAACUGCGAGUGUAGAGGUGAAAUUCGUAGAUAUUCGCAAGAACACCAGUGGCGAAGGCGGCUCACUGGCCCGGUACUGACGCUGAGGUGCGAAAGCGUGGGGAGCAAACAGG
rnacentral:rRNA from 1 species